CAGAGACAGAAAGACAGAGAGAGACUUGUGAAUUUUAAAUGUGAAUUUUCUGCUUAUCAAGAACUUAAAAAACUUGAUUCUAAACAGUGCUUCUAAAAUACCACAGUCUAAGACCAGAAGAAAAAGGAAGGCUACCAUAAUUGGAUGAUUGUGAUGCUGUUAAUCACUUUUAAUAGUUAGAUCUCUACAAGAAUAAGAGAUUCAAAAGAAAGAAGGAAGGAAGAAUAGAAAGAAAAUAGGAAGGUAAGAAGGAAUGAUGGGUAAUAGUAUUUAAACUUUCAGCUCUCCUCAAGUAUUAAAUAGUAGCUUCAGUAUUCUCCAUCAUUUAAUCAAGUCUUACAAGGAAUAGAUGCUUUUCCCAGGUCUAUUUUUCCAUCUUCUCCCUGCCUUCCUUCUCUAAGAUACUAGUGCUUUUCUUUCUGAGAUGACUUUCCAUCUACUUUGUAUACAUUUUUGCAUGUACCUAGUAUUCUAUAUGUAGCCUCCCCCAUUAGAAUAUGAGCUUCUUGAAGAAAACAAUGGUUUUUGCUUACUUUGUGGCUCUAUCAUGUAGGGUGUCUGAUAACAUAGCAAAUGCUUAAUAAAUGCUUAAUGAGUAACUCUUAAUUAACAAAUAUCCUAUUAUAUUAUUUAGGGCUACAUUCUUGAAGUUCUUCAAAAGGAACUUUCUAAGUCCAAGCUUGGAAAAAAGACAGAAAAACGAAAUAUGUUACAAAAUUUAAAAUAAAGUCUGUGAUCUCAUGUUUCCAACACAGUAGAGGGAGGUCAGGUAAUCAUCCAAAGCUUGAUCAGCAGGCUAAAUGAAGAGAUCCAAGUGGGUAGAUAAUUGUUUUCAGAGAAGGCCAGGAAUUAAUAUCAGAAACCUAACCAUUGUGAUGGAUGGUCAGGAAACUUCAGGAACAAGGUAUAACAUAAUGACAAAUAUGUGUAAUACAUGCUGAAUGUGUAUUUCACUGUGUUUGGUUUUUGGGAGUUAGAAAGUUUAGCUAAGAAACUUGCCAUGCUCUCAGGAAGCUUAUAGUCUAGAAAGGGAUAGAACACUAUCGCAGGUAACUAAUACACAAUAUAAUAUGUGCCAGAGAGUUAAACACAAAGUGUUUUAUAUAGUGUUUGCUAAGGAAAGUUAUUACCAGUCAGAAGAAUCAGGGAAGACUUCUUAGAAGAAGUAGCAUUUAAAUUUGAGUCCAAAACUCAGUCAUUAAGGACAGGGCUUAAGGCAAGACACAUAGCUCCUGGGGAAUUGGGGUAUCAAGGCCAUCACAAAGAUGUGAUGAACCCCUUUGCUGGCAAUUAAGCUUCUUAUGUCUCCUCCCUUUCUAGGGCCAGAAUUGAUCUCAGAAUCGGGACAGGAUUGAAUUUAUCAGUUGAAGAUAAUAUAUGCUCAAGUGCCAGAGUUAAGAAGAUAAAGGGAUGAAGAAAUGGAAGCUGAGAGUUCAGUGAUCAAGGGUCCAACAACCACAAUGGAGAAGCAAGGUAGCCUUUGAUUUAAAUGCAGAGCUAUAUAAAGUUAUCUUCAAAUGUCGUAGUGGAUGAAGAAAUUGAGACAGCACUAUCUCUCGUCUAUAGAACAUCUAAUGGACAAGACACAAGGAAGUUGUUUUUGCAUCUAAGAAGUUUGAUCCACCAUUGAUAAGAUCCAGAUGCCUAAAAUUGUUAAAGGAUAUAUCUAAUGAAAAGACUUUUAUACUCUUUUUCCCCCUUUCUAUUUCCACUUACCUUGCAUCUGCUACCAUUGCUCGUACCACUGUCCAGGCCACAACAAACACUGCUGGAAAUCCUGUAAGACAGAAAAAAUGUUUUUGGUAACAUCAAUUUCAAUUUUUUAAAAAUGGAAAAUUACCAUUUAAAAGUAUUUGCCGGAUUCAAGAUAAAAUGUGUUCAUUACAGACAAAUUUAAAGAUGUCAUAUUGCUUUGUGUUCUAGAAAAGUUCUCAUGACUUUUACGUGAACUAGAGAAUUAUAUUCAAUCUAUCAGCUAUGUUUCUAUGAAUGAAUUUGUCACCAACAUUGAUUUUUCUUGUAAUUAAUAACCUAAAGUUUGUCAUUGGUUUAAUUGAAAUGUGAGAGUUUAUAGGAUCAAACACUAUCUGGAAGUGACUCUUGAAAUUAAGGGCAAAAAUAUGGUAUAGUAUCAACAUCUGGAUUCUAAUUUUAUAUUGAUGAGUGUCAUUCAUUCCAUUGAAGAGUAAAAGAUCAAGAACAUGGAUUUAUAAUUGUGAUUUGAAGUAAACAAUAGAUUAAGACACUUUAUGUAGAAAGAUGAAGGCUUGGGGAGUAUAAAAUUGAAAUCCAUUUACUCACUAAGAUUGACUGAAUAUAAUAAUUUUUACUUUUUUGUCUUUUGAAGAUAAGGAAAGUUCUUAUUUAUGAUGAUUUAAAUGUGGUGUGGAGUUAUUGUUACUGUGAAUCCCAAGAGUAUUACUUCUUUCAUCUUGGUGAGAAGGUGAUGGUUCAGAGUUUGAUUCCUAAAAGAAUUAUAUAUGAUAUCACAACAAUAUGAUUAUUAUAUGCUUUUAGAAAACCUCAACAGAAAAUAGAAAGAUUGAAUGACUCAUGAGUAAAUGACUGGCUAUAUGUGUAACCUUUAUGACAAGAGAGUACCAAAGCAUACUUUCAUAAAAAGAACAUGUCAAAAGCUUUAACAGAUUUAUUAUAAUGGAGAAGAAACUUCGUCUCUUCUAAUCUUAAUAGAAUUUCUCUUGAACACAUUAUUAAAUCAAUAAAGGAAAUAAAAAAUACAUUUCAAAAUUUUUGAAUAUCAAAAGAACAGUAUAACAUUAAAGUACAUGAAUAUUCCUUAAAGGAACCAAGUGAAAAAGAAGUGUAGAGAAAACAAAAGUAAAAAUAGGGCAAAAGUCUAGACCAAGUCUCAUAGCCUCUGCUUGUGGGAUCACUGUAUCUCUUAAUGUUAUCAUGAACUUAUGGGCUAAGUUUAUAAAUUAUUUGUAUCCCAACUCACCUAUGAAUACAAAUUCUGAAGUUCUGUCUUCCAGGUAGCAAUUUUUAAUUUCCUCAAUCUUAUUUUGAUUGUGCCUCAUAUUCAAGUCCUUAUAUUCAAAUUUUUGUAUAUGUUUUUCCAAAUAAUCUCAAUUUUCUUUUUAUGUGUCUCACCAGAUGUAUAUUAAUCAGUUACCAUGUACCAGGCAUUAUACAAAGUUCUGAAGAUUAAAUAUGAGAGUAAAACAGUCCCUGCUCUCGAGGACUUUAUACUCUAUUGUACAAAAACAUGAUUCUUUGUCCUCAACCAAACUGUUAAAUCUUCAAAAGGAAGGUACUAUCUUGAGCUUUUGUUCCUCUCAGAGCCCUUAGCACCUUAUAUAAUAUUUUGUAUAGCAAUAGUACUUAAAUGUUUUAAAUUAAUGUUGUUUAUUUAAUGGAAAACAUGAUUGUAAUUCAGAAUUUUUAAAAAAUCUAUUUUAUCAGGUGCUAUGUUUUAAAGUAUUAUUGCCCAUAGUUACCGUUUGUAACCUCCUGUAUGCAAGCCCUUACUUUCCAAAACUUGCAUUAAAAUUUUUCAAAAGCAAGAAUACACGAAACCAAAGUCAUAUAAAUUCUCAACAAGAUAAUUUUUAUACUAUAUAUCAUGUAUAAUACAUGUAUACACAGGGGUGAAUAGAAACCAAUAUAUACAAAUGCCCAACAAAUUUGCCUAUGUUUGAAAAUUUGACUUUAAGAUAAACAUUAUAAUGAUUCUUUAGAUAAGUGUUAUUUUAUAGAGGAAAACAGUGGCCUAGAUAUUAGAAUACUUUUCUUCUAUUUCUGUCCCUGAGAGUAA